AGAUUCUUCGGAUGAUUCUUGACUGACUGAGCGGCGGACGGGUGAGUAACGCGUGGGUGACCUGCCCCAUACCGGGGGAUAACAGCUGGAAACGGCUGCUAAUACCGCAUAAGCGCACAGAGCUGCAUGGCUCGGUGUGAAAAACUCCGGUGGUAUGGGAUGGGCCCGCGUCUGAUUAGGCAGUUGGCGGGGUAACGGCCCACCAAACCGACGAUCAGUAGCCGACCUGAGAGGGUGACCGGCCACAUUGGGACUGAGACACGGCCCAAACUCCUACGGGAGGCAGCAGUGGGGAAUAUUGCACAAUGGGGGAAACCCUGAUGCAGCGACGCCGCGUGAGCGAUGAAGUAUUUCGGUAUGUAAAGCUCUAUCAGCAGGGAAGAAAAUGACGGUACCUGACUAAGAAGCCCCGGCUAACUACGUGCCAGCAGCCGCGGUAAUACGUAGGGGGCAAGCGUUAUCCGGAUUUACUGGGUGUAAAGGGAGCGUAGACGGCAUGGCAAGCCAGAUGUGAAAGCCCGGGGCUCAACCCCGGGACUGCAUUUGGAACUGUCAGGC
rnacentral:rRNA from 1 species